rnacentral:pre_miRNA from 1 species
AAAAAGUUUUCUCUGUUUUCGAGAGACGGAAGUCUUGCACAAGAAAUUUAAAAAAACAGGUCGGUGGGACUUUCGUCCGUGUGUGAUGCACUUGACAACAC